rnacentral:rRNA from 1 species
ACGGGUGAGUAAUAGGUAGGAGACCUACCUCAUACAGGGGGAUAGCAUAGAGAAAUCUGUGGUAAUACCCCAUGAGGUUAUAUGAAUAGAGGCAUAUAAUCAAAGCAUAAGCGAUUAUGCGGUAUGAGAGGGGCCUACUGACCAUUAGCUAGUUGGUGAGGUAAGGGCUCACCAAGGCGAAGAUGGUUAGGGGUUUUGAGAGAGAGACCCCCCACAUUGGAACUGAGAGACGGUCCAGACUCCUACGGGAGGCAGCAGUAGGGAAUAUUGGGCAAUGGGCGAAAGCCUGACCCAGCCAUGCCGCGUGAAGGAAGACGGCCUUAUGGGUUGUAAACUUCUUUACUACGCGAAUAGAGGUUAGUACGAGAUACUAAUAGGAAGGUAGUGUAGUAAAAAGCACCGGCUAACUCCGUGCCAGCAGCCGCGGUAAUACGGAGGGUGCAAGCGUUAUUCGGAAUUACUGGGUUUAAAGGGUGCGUAGGCGGUUAAAUAAGUUGUCAGUGAAAGGCUACGGCUCAACUGUAGUAGUGCUGGCGAUACUGUAUAACUAAGAACAUGGGAGGGGUACCUGGAAUGUGUGGUGUAGCGGUGAAAUGCGUAGAUAUCACACAGAACACCGGAGGCAAAGGCGGGGUACUAGACCAUAGUUGACGCUGAGGCACGAAAGCGUGGGGAUCAAACAGGAUUAGAUACCCUGGUAGUCCACGCCCUAAACGAUGAUCACUAGAUAUUGGCGACAGACAGUCAGUGUCCAAGCGAAAGUGAUAAGUGAUCCACCUGGGGAAUACGGCCGCAAGGUUAAAACUCAAAGGAAUUGACGG